rnacentral:rRNA from 1 species
CGUGUAGGCGGCCUAUUAAGUCAGUGGUGAAAGUUUGCAGCUUAACUGUAAAAUUGCCAUUGAUACUGGUAGGCUUGAAUUUGGUAGAGGUAGGCGGAAUGUGUAGUGUAGCGGUGAAAUGCUUAGAUAUUACACAGAACACCAAUUGCGAAGGCAGCUUACUAUUCCAACAUUGACGCUGAGGCACGAAAGCGUGGGGAGCGAACAGGAUUAGAUACCCUGGUAGUCC